UGGUUAAGAGCUACGCUGCUAACCAAAAGGUUGGUAGUUCGAAUCCACCAGGAACUCCUUGGAAGCUCUGUGGUGCAGUUCUACUCAGACCUGUACGGUUGCUGUGAUUUGGAAUCGACUUGACAGCAGUGGGUUUUUUUUUUGUUUUUGUUUGUUUGUUUACCCCAACAUACUUACUUAUACUUUAAAGUCCCAGAAUUAUAAAAUAAUCUGUCAAUCUCUCAGUUAUUCACUUGAUGAUACUAUUGGCUGGGAACUCAGCGGGAGCAUCUAAAGAGUCCCUACUUGGUUUCACAUCCUGGCAUUUCUCUCCACGUAGUCUGUUCUUCCUUACAGCAUGGUGGCUGUUGAUAGUUGGACUUCUUAUAUGAUGACUCAGGGCUCCAAAAUAAGUGAUCCAGCAGCAAAGUAGAAACUGCAUUGCCUUUUAUGACCUAGUCUUAGAAGUAACAUAGUAUUGCCUCCAUAGUUUGUUGGAUGAACAGUCAAAAAAGCCCACCCAUAAUCAAGAGAAGGGGUGGGAAGGCGUAUAUUCCACCUCUCAAUGGGAGUGGUUUCAAAGAAUUUGAGACCAUAUUUUAAAACUGCCACAAAAGGUUUCAUGUUAACUGAAGUGUUUUAUAGUUCUAACUCAAUAAUCUCUGCCGAGAAGAUCAUUGACUUUGGAACAGUAUAGUAUAACCUAAUGUCAGUAGUCCCCAGUGUGCUGUGGUGUGCUUGAUCUAUGGUUCUCAACUCAGCAUUAGAAUCACAUGGGAAGAUUUUUCAGAAUCCCAGCACCUGAGGCCCAUGCCCAGAGAUUUCUGACUUACUUAAUGUGGAAUUGAACUUGGGUUUCAAGUAUUUUUUAAAUGCGUAGUGUCUUGUCCCUUAGCAUCACGCUAGUUGUGCACUUGUUCAGGGACAUCUUUGAAGCUUCUGACUCAGUGGUUUCAGAUCCUAUCCUGCUCAGAUCCUAUCAGUGAGGACAGGCAGAGUUCAGCAGGUAUCCCUCUGGAGUAGGGGCAGAGGCAUUAAGGGGCUGGGUUUUGAUGGUUCGUGGCCAUGUCACUGGUAUUUGGAAGGAGCUGAGGUUGUAAAUGAGAAAUCUGAGUGGCAGUGUGGAGGUAUAACAAAAGAGUGAGUUAGCAAAGGCUGUGAUCAAGAGAAUAUACACAGAUGAUGUUGGACAUUCUUCUUUGCAGAAGACUUACUCUUUCCCUUCUCAAAUCUGGGAAUUGUCUUUUACCAUUUGUGGGUUUCAAAUCCCAAGACUUAUCACACUUCACAGAAACAAGAGAUGUAUCACACUUCACGGAAAAAAACUACACUGGUGAAAUACAAUUCAUGUCAGUCAGCUCUAAAGCAAGACAGUCUGAGGUGUCCGGUGACUGGAUCAACUUCCUCAAAUAUUUUUCUUUCCUUCCACUGCUGCAAGCACAGUCCUCUUGGUGAGGCAUCUGUUCUCAAAAGUGCAGUCAGAGAAGGGAAUUGGAAACUGAUUUUUCACCACCCAGGUACCAGAGAAAUUGUGGCCUCACAUCCUGGCAAUUCUCAGUCUCUGAGUCAUUUUAUCUAUUCUGCUUAAAUUGAGGGCUGCCGUUUAAAAUGACCUUUGUCUUCAGCCAUUCAUGGGUCUGGGAAUGUGAUGCAUUUGCUGCUUUGACUGCUGUCAAGUUCAGAGAGGGCAGAAAAUUUAUUCUUGGCUGACCAAAAGCAGGAUCCAAAAGAGCCUAUGAUUGGUUCUUGUUCUUGAUUUUAGCAGUAUGUAAUAUAAACCCAGAAAAACCCAGUGCUGACGAGUCGAUUCCGACUCAUAGCGACCCCAUAGGACAAAGUAGAACUGCCCCAUAGAGUUUCCAAGGAGCGCCUGACGGAUUCGAACUGCCGACCCUCUGGUUAGCAGGCGUAGCACUUAACCACUAUGCCACCAGGGGUUCCAUAUGUAAUAUAUAUUAUGUAUAUAUAAUAAUAAUAAAAAUACCGAUACCAAAGGGCAGUAUAGCUGCCAUCUCAGAUGACAUCCAGAUGUCCAGCUGUUCAAAAGGAGGUGCCUAAUCUGUGCUUACAUGUCCCAUGGGAAACAGGGCAUUCAUUCUUUAUGUUACAGAGUCCUUGUAAUCCUUAGCACUGUGGAGUAAGGUCAGUUUCCUUAAUAUUGUGUCUUAUAUGGAGGGUCAGGGAAGAAGAGGAAGACCAUCAACGAGAUGGAUUGACACAGUGGCUACAACAGUGGCCUCAAGCAUAACAACUAUCGUGAGGAUGGUACACGACCAGGCAGUGUUUCAUUCUGUUGUACGUAGGAGGUAUAAAUUGGAACCAACUCGAUGGCACCUAACGACAGCAGUGAAGAAAUAGUAUAUUUAUGUGUGCGUAUAUGCUGAGGGCAGGAAUGGAUGGGAAGGGCGUGGUGCUGAAACAAGACGUUCUUGACCGUAACAGACCAGAUACACUUUGAGCUGCGCUGGGUGGUUCUGGGAAUAGUCUGAGCAUGUAGAAUGUAUAAUGGGGCAUAACCCUUUCAUGUGGUGCCGUACUUAUGCUGCAUGGUUUGGGCAUGGUUGCUGGAGGGACCACAUUGGGCAGGACAGUAAAAACAGAAACUGACCACUGCCCUGGAACUGAGGUUCUAGAGGAAAUAGGGGAUACAGACUGCCCCUUAAUCUCCAGAGCCUUACCCAGGAGGUAAGAAAUUCACUUUGAGCGGUAGAGAUGUUGCCAGGAACUCCGAGUUCUGGUCAGCGCAACUCCCACCAGGCCCCAAAAGACAGAGACUGAGUUGGGGAAAACAAAAGUCAACUUUAUUGGUUCCCAAGAAGACGGAUGGGACUGUGUGCCACCCAAGACUGCCUUGCAGGCAGCUUGUUGAGGCUGGCGUGUAUAGGCGGGAUUAGUUUCAGAAUACAAAAUGGCGCCUGCACAGGCGUGGAGCAUUUUAGAAUGAGUAAGCAUUUUCUAAGGCCAGGGUUCGAUUCCGCUUGCGGAAGGAACUGAGUCAUUUUUGUUCAGUAGUAUGUCAGGUCUCCACCCAGGGGUGGGGAAUUUAGGAUGCAUGAAGCAGUUAAUGAGCUAAAGGUCAUCUGGAAUGCCUGGAUGGAGGACAGGACCUGUUUCAGCUGAUUCUGGCUAGCCGGUGGCAGUUUCUUUUUAAGGAGGUUCUUCCGAGGAGGAAAAGAAAGCAAGCUAGGAAAUGGGCUGUGUAAGGGGCUGUCUUGAGGCUAAAAAAAUGGCUCUAUGGCUCUAGGCCUGUCUUAGAGAGACAUAGGCUGUAGACCAACUUUGGCCAUAAACUUGCUGGGUGACACGGAACAAAAAGUAUUGCCUAUCUGAAAGCCCUCGUGGCUCAGUGGUUAAGUGCUGAGGCUACUAACCAAAAGGUUGGCAGUUUGAAUCCACCAACCUCUCCUUGGUAACCCUAUGGGGCAAUUCUGUUCUGCUCUAUAGGGUUGCUAUGAGUUGGAAUUGACUCCGCGGCAAUAGUGUUUUUUUUUGGAGAUACAUUAGCCCAGGCUUUCUCUAAACAAUGAGGAGGUAAUGUUACUGUCCAAAGGUUAAGGUAUUGUCUGCAAGAAGUCCUUGUUAAAAUGCAGACUGUUCCUAAGAAAGAGUAGUUAUUUAACCAACAUCACCCAUGUAACACAUUAAGGCAUCUGUCCUCAGAUCAUACCUGGGGGUGAAAAUGGGGUUAAACUUAAACUGCAAAAACGGUGUUUCUCUGUUAUACCUUAUGUAAAAUACUGGAUACGCGUGGAGUUAAAUUCUGCCUGUCCUUUUGACUCGAGGAUUUUUUCCUGUUGUUAACAUUCAGUUUUACUGAAUUUCUUAUUGUUUAAUUAUGUUUCCCCUGUGACUACUUAUAUAAUUUUUCAAACUUGCUGAAAUUUGCUCUUGAAAUUUGUUUUUCCGUUCUAUUGAUUUCUUUACUUCUCGGUGGUUAUUAAAUGUUUUAUUGAUGUUUGCAAUUAUAAUGACAUAAUGCUAGAGCAUACAGCAUGGUAAUUUGUUUUUGUUGUUUUUCCAGACCAUCUGUACUCUUGUGAUUUUUCUUAAUAAUGAAAAAAUUUAAAAAGUUUCCACUUUACUCAAUAUCAGCAUAAACCAAAGUGGUUAGAUGAAGAACAAUACUGUUAUGAAAAAGAUUUGCAUUUUCUCGAUGGUAUUUAAAAAAUAUUUAAUGACUUUAUUGAGAUAUAAUUCAUAUACCAUACAACGCAUCCACUUAAAGUGUGAAAUUCAGUGGCUUUUAGUAUAUUCACAGAGUUGUGCAACCAUCACCACGAUCAAUUUUAGAAACUUUUUAUCACAUUACAAACUUACCUGAGGCAUAGCCGAGACUAUGUUAUAAACAGUAGAAAGCAGAUGAUUUUGCCAAUGGAGGAUAUCCAGUGUUGUAACUAUAGAGCUCAAAUGAAAAAGUAAAAGCAAGAGAUGAAUUAAAAUUUGCAUAAUAGGGAGAAAAUAAUUCUCACCAUUAUCUAAUGAUUCUGUUGUUAAUUAUGCAAUUAGACAGCAAGAGACUACACCACUGUCUUAGGCUGGGUUCUCUAGAGAAGCAAAACCAGUAAGGCGUAUAUAAUAUGUGCGUGUGUGUGUGUAUAUAUAUGGAGAGAGAGAGAGAGAGAGGUAGAUUUAUAUCAAGGAAAUGACUCAUGCAGUUUUUAGAGGUUGUUACGUCCCAAGUCCAUGGGGGCAGGAAAGAGGCUUCUGCUGAUUCAUGUAGCUGCAGGGGCUGGCGAACCCAAGAUCAGCAGGCUGGAGAAUAGGGCUGUUGCAGGCUGUGAAGAUUAACAAAUCUCAGGAUUGUCAGGCGAGACCACAGGGGUCUACCAUAUUCCAGAGCUAUGCCGUCCUGUAUGGACCACAUGUUGCUAUUGAGCACUUGAAAUGCAGCUAGUCUGAAUUGGGAACGAGAGAGAUACAGUGGAGAAGACAUAACAGAGUCGCAAAAACUUUAGCUUAGAGUGGCUGGGUUAUGAGAGGGAGAAAGUGGAAGCUGUCAGUCUUCUUAAGGGCUGGGCCUGGAGCUAACCCAGCAUCACUUCUGCCACAUUCUGUUGGUCAAAGCAAGUCACAGGACCAGCUUGGAUUCAAGAAGAUGAGAUUCUCCUGAUGGGAGGAGCCACAAAGAAUUUUGGCCAUCUUCAGUGCACCACACAUACGUUUCUGUGUUUUGGAAAUCGCCUGUCAACAAUCUAAAGAAGUAUGUGGCCAGUGUUUUUGAAGUCUGGCAGAAGGCAGACAAAGUUGAUAAAGUGACUACACUCUAUGGCCUCUUCACGGACCCAGGUUCAUUCUGUCACUCCUAGGCUCUGGUCCUCAUUCUCAUAUUUCAAGAUAACAACUAAUUCCAGGUUGUUCCUGUUGGUCUAGCUCAGAAGCUGGAAUAUGAAAAAUAACAAACCGUCCAUUUCAGCUGAGUAAUAGAAAAAGCAAGAUGCUUAAAUAAGUUCACAGACUGUUAUAAAAUGAUGUAAAACUCUGAUGACUCUCCCUCUUCUCUUUCCUUCUUCCUGCCUUUUGUGUCAAGAAAUAGUUAAAGGGAUUAGUUGGUUUUUUUUUUUUUAAUUAUAUGUUUUUAAGGACAUAGCUUGUGAACUCUCAAACACUAUUCCAACUUAAAAAAACUUAUU